ACGGCUCAGUAACACGUGGCUAACCUACCCUCAGGACGGAGACAACCCCGGGAAACUGGGACUAAUAUCCGAUAGGCGGGGAGGCCUGGAAUGGUUUCUCACCUAAAAGACUUUGGAAACAUGCUUUCAUUGUUGCCUGAGGAUGGGGCCGCGCCCGAUCAGGUUGUUGGUGAGGUAAUGGCUCACCAAGCCUAUAACCGGUACGGGCCGUGAGAGCGGUAGCCCGGAGAUGGGUACUGAGACAAGGACCCAGGCCCUACGGGGCGCAGCAGUCGCGAAAACUCCGCAAUGCACGAAAGUGUGACGGGGCUACCCCGAGUGCUCUCCGCUGAGGAAAGCUUUUCCCUGGUAUAACUAGCCAGGGGAAUAAGGAGAGGGCAAGACUGGUGUCAGCCGCCGCGGUAAUACCAGCUCUCCGAGUGGUAGGGAUGAUUAUUGGGCUUAAAGCGUCCGUAGCCGGCUUAGCAAGUCUCCUGUUAAACUCAGCGACUUAAUCGUUGAAUCGCGGGAGAUACUAUUAGGCUAGGAGGCGGGAGAGGUCGACGGUACUUCUGGGGUAGGGGUGAAAUCCUAUAAUCCCGGGAGGACCACCAGUGGCGAAGGCUGUCGACUAGAACGCGCUCGACGGUGAGGGACGAAAGCUGGGGGAGCGAACCGGAUUAGAUACCCGGGUAGUCCCAGCUGUAAACGAUGCGGGCUAGGUGUUGGAAUGGCUACGUGCCAUUUCAGUGCCGCAGGGAAGCCAUUAAGCCCGCCGCCUGGGGAGUACGGCCGCAAGGCUGAAACUUAAAGGAAUUGGCGGGGGAGCAC
rnacentral:rRNA from 1 species